rnacentral:rRNA from 1 species
UGGAUGGAGAGUUUGAUCCUGGCUCAGAACGAACGCUGGCGGCGUGCUUAACACAUGCAAGUCUAGGGGAAUUCGCUUUCGGGCGAUAGUACACUGGCGAACGGGUGAGUAACGCGUGAGAAACCUACCCCGGAGAUUGGGACAACACAGAGAAAUUUGUGCUAAUACCGGAUAAGCCCACGGGUUUAGUUAUUUGUGGGAAAAGACGGGGCAACCUGUCGCUUUGGGAUGGUCUCGCGUGUCAUUAGCUAGUUGGUAGGGUAACGGCCUACCAAGGCAACGAUGACUAGGCGGCCUGAGAGGGUGGCCGCCCACACUGGAACUGAGACACGGUCCAGACUCCUACGGGAGGCAGCAGUGGGGAAU